UUUUUGUUUUGCAGGAUUUGGGAAUCGAGAUUCCCAUGGAAUUCCCGAAAUUUUUGGAUUUCCCCUGAGUUUCUCCAGGUUUUCCGUAGGAUUCCCACCAUGAGCGGCCUCGGCGACGGCUCCGCGGAUCCGGCCCUUCCCGAAUCCCGCAAGCGCAAAGGAUCCCCCUGCGACCCCGGCCAGAGCACGGAGAAGCGGCGGCGCGAGCAGGAGCAGCAGGAGCUGGUGGGGAAAUAGCAGCAAAAAUUGGGACA